AUCCAGCUGACGAGUCCCGAAUAGGACUUAACGCGCAUCCUGUAU
rfam:Schistosoma mansoni strain Puerto Rico chromosome 1, complete genome